UUUAGUUUUUAAUCAUACAAAUAUAUUGUAUAACCACAAACAUACACAUAGUGAUUUUAAUUUAUGUCACAACUAAAUACUGUGUCAUAAGCAUGAUAAGUGUGUAGUGGCUUUAAAUUGAAAUGAAGAAAAUAAUUGUGAUCAGCGGAAUAUAUCAUAGACUUUACCAGUAAUGCACUGCGGUUCAGAAGCUUUGUUAAAAACAACAAUUCCGUACAAAUCAAAUGCAGGACAAAACGAACAAUAGUUUUUAUUUAACCGGUGAGAAAAGAAUCUUUAUUUGCUAAUGUGUAACUGAAGUUUUCCUAAUUAAAUUUGUAAAAAAUUAUCAUGGACAAAUUGAACAUUUUUCGUCUAAGAGAUAAGUAUACAGCUUGUGAUUUUCAUCGUUUUCUACUUUGAAAAAUUAAAGAUAUAAACUUGUUUGGUUUGUAUUUGUGGUGUUUUAAUUUCAAAAUCAAUUGGAUACAUGUGGUAAACAUGAUUGGAGAAUUUAACUGAAUAAGAUGCUUUGUGAGAAGUUUACUUAGAUGCAGGUACAAUCAUAACGUUUAAAGUUCUAUUUGUAAAUUUUGCAGCUAAUAUAUGAAUAUAAAAAAAACAUUAAAUAUAAGUCAUCAUUGAGACGAUUUUAUCUAAAACUUUCUAGUAUACUGAUAGAUAUAGAGCAACACUGAAAGUACUUGAAUAUUUGAUACAAGUUUAGUGUUUGUGUACAGAUUAGUUUAACUGCAAACACAAUGUUGUUUGCUAUGUCAACUGGUGAACAACACUUUCUAAAAGUGUUGGACGCUACCAUGGCAUGAUACACGUUACUUAACAGGCUGAUUUAUGGUUCAUUAAAAAGAAGUCACACCGGUAUAUAAAGGUCAACAUUGGAACAAGAUACAACUAAUCUUACAUAACUAAUCUUUCUCGCUACAUUGAAGACCUGUUGGUGACCCUCUGCUGUUGUUUUUUUAUUUGGUUGGGUUGUUGUCUCUUUGACACAUUCCCAAUUUCCAUUCUCAAUUUUAUUAUAAGGGAAGUGACCUUUGAAGUAAGAUUAAGAAAAAAAUAUAUAUAAUACGCUGCAGGGAAGACAAGAGUGUAUAGUUACCUAAGCUUUUAUGUUCUUGUAUAUUUAGGAAAUAGAACACUAAAGCAGAACGGACAGAUGAGUCAUUGAGUUCGAAUGCUGAAUCAUUUUAGCAAGUAAAUUUGCUGUCUCCUUUACGUAUACCUGUUUUUAUCAAUGGUGAGGUGACUAGUUAAUAUGUACCGAUUAUCAGGUUGUCUGCAUGUUGAUAUCGUAAAAUAUCAGCUGCGAGACAUAAUAUGAAGCUUUUUGAGUAGCGCGAGAUCAAAAAAGCUUCAUAUAUGUCGAGUAGCUGAUAUUUUACAUAUAAUAUGCCGAUAACUGAUAAUCGUUUAUGGUGUAUUUGCGUCUUCUGGAAGUAUUGUCUUAGUUUCACCAGCAACCGGAAGUUGACUUGAUAAGUUCGGGUCAAACUUAUCAAUGUCGGUUCAAACAUUAUGACGUCGCUGAUAUGUCCGGGUCAACGUUAUUCAGGCCAGGUCAACGUAUUGACGUCACAAAGCCGUGAUAUGGAGUUUUAUUAAGAGCUGAACAGAUUGAUAUAGACAGUUGGUUGACCGAUAACAUAGAUUAUAGACCUUUUUUAUAUCAGGCCUGGUAUCAUCCAAAGACUUCCGUUCUUGCAAAAGGAGCUAGCCGAAGGUUCAUACAGCUGAAGGGAUGAAGCGACGGCCGAUAUGGAAAAGGACAUGUUUUAAUCCAUUUACCACAUAUUAUACAAAUACUUAAAAGGUAGAAAUAAUUCUAUGAUUCCAUGUGGCAAGAUCAUACAUUUUUUCUGCUCAACGGACAUAGCUGCCUUAAUAUGAUACUCCCAACCG
rnacentral:lncRNA from 1 species